UCAUUUCACAACAAUCAUUCUCUAUUCAUUGAAUAUAUCAAUCUGUACACAAUUUCCAAUUACACAUUAAAACUUUCAACGUAGUUCUAUACAGUUUCUAAUUCAAGAAAAAUGAAAUUCUAUGUCGGUCUUCUAGUCCUUUCGUUCAGAUAGCAAGAAAUACUGAAUCACUAACCUGUAAAAAGAUUAUUUUUGCAAGAUUGAGCUCAACAGCUCGGUAAAUUUAACAGUCUAUCAUGCAUCAUAUAGCACAUAUUUCCAUAUUCAACAUAUACCUUUCAUGGCAUCAUCUUAUCAUUAUCUGCGUAUCACAUGCUUUAAACAAAUUGAGUUCCAUAACUCAAAUCACUUUAGUCAUUGACUUUAAUCAUUCACGAAGUAUCAUAAAGAAAAUCAUACAUGCUCAUAUACUUGUAAGCAUAAGACAUAAACACAGAAAUAGACUGAGAAAUUUGCCUGAUUCUUUGUGUAUAUCCUACACAAAUUUGAACGUACAUACAUGAAUACAUCAGUUAUAUGUUCAAAGCACACAUUCAACUGUAGUUUCAAUAUACGUUUAGUUCUAAACUUUUAUUGUUUCCAUUUUGGAAAAUCUCUUAUUAAACUUCAUUUGAUUAGUCAUUUCCGACUAAAUCUUACAUUCCCAUUUCCUUUGUAAGCUUUUCUAAACAACGCUCAUUUUACAUUAGCCAUUUUAUACUUGACUAACGCUAAGUACCAUAUACAUUAGAUAUACAACAGUAGGGCAUAAAUACAUGCCCCAAUGUUCUUUAAUAAACACAGCUCAUUUGUUACAAUGAAAGUUUCCGUUUUGCUUGCAAAUCUUAUAGCAAUCAUCCUAUGUCAUAGUUAUUUUAUACAUGGACAAGCUUAUCAGCUUGCUCUUCAUACAUUCCUACUUCAGAGGCCUUAAAUAAUCAUGCAUCAAACCUUAGUUUAUAAACAGAACCUUUUUUCUUGACAUAGUUAUAUCAUGUUCACAGAUAUACAAUGCUAGGCACUAUAGCGAUUAGCAAAAGAAAAGUCCGUGCUUGGAUAAGGAGACCAGGUUUUGGCAACUAGAAUAACUUUAUCCCAAUCAUAGAAAUUUCACCACCAAUGUCAUACUGUUUUAUCCCUAAUUGAGAGAGGAGGAGUGCUGGGCUAAAAUCCACAUACCCACAUUUUUAUUUUUAUUUUUAUUUUGGACUGCCCAAAUUCAUGGCCAUAUUGAUCACAUACAUCAAGUAUAUUAGAUUAUCAAUUAUUUACUACUUAAAAAAAACUGAACAUGUAGAGAUGGAGAUAAUCAAAAUGUAUUUCCCAAUUUAUUAAGUCUAGAGGCACCACUUAUAUUCAAAAUAGAAAUGGAAUAUGAGAUUAGCAACCAAAUCUGUCCUCAAAUAUACAUCUAUGUUUAGUGUUUAUAGUUAGAAAUUUGAUUCCAAAGUCUUUGAAACCCUUUAACAAUAAUACAUCACAUGACUAAUGAUACAAUAGCAGUCAACCAAUGGGCCAUGACUGACUUUGAUUGUAUCUAGUAAGUUGGUUAAGUUUGGUAGCUUCACCCACGAUGAAAUAUGCAAGAAUGUUGGUUAAUGGAUUCUUAUUUCAACAACAAGGUGGUUUCAAACGGGGUUCUAAUUUUGUUUUGACUUUUACCAAUGUAUAUCAUUAUUAUUCUCCAAGAUUUUGGAAAACAAUCACAAGAUUCAAUUCAAACUCCAGUCUUGCCACUAACAUCGGAAACAAAUCAAACAAAGAAAAAAAUUAACUAAUAAUCUAUGUAACAUUUUAUCAAACAUCUAACAUGCAUGUUUUAAAACUUAGUGUUUUUAUGAAUUUAAAACAUAAAACACUAUCUCCAUACUUUAAUUCCAACCUUAUACCAACUGAACCCUUCAUGGUUCCCACAAUUUUAAAUCCUCCCACAACCAUUUUCAGAAAUACAAUCACUAUUUACUUAAUUUUUAUGAACUUAACAUAGCUUACCUUUUGUCCUUGCUUCAAAAUUGAUUUUGGUUGAAUUAAGUCUUUCCUUUGAUAGUACUCCACCCUAAUUCUUCUUAUAUGCUUGGUAAUUGGAGAAAUUGAGAAUUGAUUUUGAGAUUGUAGAGGAGCCGAACCUGUUUGGAACGGAUGGGAGAGAAAUUUUUUUUUAUUCUUCUUUCUAUUGGAACGGUGGGAAGUUAGGCUUAGAAAAUGAAAGAGCUAUAGUAUGGACAUUAUAUCAAAUAAAACUCAAUUCUCUCUCCCAUAAUUG
rnacentral:lncRNA from 1 species